rnacentral:rRNA from 1 species
GACGAACGCUGGCGGCGUGCUUAACACAUGCAAGUCGAGCGGUAAGGCCCUUUCGGGGGUACACGAGCGGCGAACGGGUGAGUAACACGUGGGUGACCUGCCCUCAGCUCUGGGAUAAGCCUGGGAAACCGGGUCUAAUACUGGAUAUGACUCCAUGACGCAUGUUGUGGGGUGGAAAGCCUUGUGCGGCUGAGGAUGGGCCCGCGGCCUAUCAGCUUGUCGGUGGGGUNANGGCCCUACCAAGGCGACGACGGGUAGCCGGCCUGAGAGGGCGACCGGCCACACUGGGACUGAGACACGGCCCAGA